rnacentral:tRNA from 1 species
UUUAACUUGGCAGAUAAAAUGCAUUUGAUUUAGAAUCAAAUUAUAAAAAUUAUUUUAGUUAUCU